ensembl:rRNA 5S_rRNA 5S ribosomal RNA
CUCUAUGGCCAUACCACCCUGAACAUGCCCAAUUUCAUCUGAUCUCAGAAAUUAAGUAGGGCUGGGCCUGGUUAAGUACUUAGAUGAGAGAAAUGCUUUACAUAUAAGACAAUUACCUGGCAUCAAAGUAU